GAUGAACGCUAGCGGCAGGCCUAACACAUGCAAGUCGAGGGGUAGAGUUAGCUUGCUAACUUGAGACCGGCGCACGGGUGCGUAACGCGUAUGCAAUCUACCUUGUACAGAGGGAUAGCCCAGAGAAAUUUGGAUUAAUACCUCAUAGUAUCUUUACCUGGCAUCGGGUAAUUAUUAAAGUUCCAACGGUACAAGAUGAGCAUGCGUCCCAUUAGUUAGUUGGUAAGGUAACGGCUUACCAAGACAAUGAUGGGUAGGGGUCCUGAGAGGGAGAUCCCCCACACUGGUACUGAGACACGGACCAGACUCCUACGGGAGGCAGCAGUGAGGAAUAUUGGUCAAUGGACGCAAGUCUGAACCAGCCAUGCCGCGUGCAGGAAGACGGUCCUAUGGAUUGUAAACUGCUUUUUAANACAGGAAGAAACACUCUACGUGUAGAGUCUUGACGGUACUGUAGGAAUAAGGAUCGGCUAACUCCGUGCCAGCAGCCGUACGGUAAAGU
rnacentral:rRNA from 1 species